GAUCAGUGGCGAACGGGUGAGUAACACGUGAGCAACCUGCCCUGGACUCUGGGAUAAGCGCUGGAAACGGCGUCUAAUACUGGAUAUGAGACGUGAUCGCAUGGUCGUGUUUGGAAAGAUUUUUCGGUCUGGGAUGGGCUCGCGGCCUAUCAGCUUGUUGGUGAGGUAAUGGCUCACCAAGGCGUCGACGGGUAGCCGGCCUGAGAGGGUGACCGGCCACACUGGGACUGAGACACGGCCCAGACUCCUACGGGAGGCAGCAGUGGGGAAUAUUGCACAAUGGGCGGAAGCCUGAUGCAGCAACGCCGCGUGAGGGAUGACGGCCUUCGGGUUGUAAACCUCUUUUAGCAGGGAAGAAGCGAAAGUGACGGUACCUGCAGAAAAAGCGCCGGCUAACUACGUGCCAGCAGCCGCGGUAAUACGUAGGGCGCAAGCGUUAUCCGGAAUUAUUGGGCGUAAAGAGCUCGUAGGCGGUUUGUCGCGUCUGCUGUGAAAUCCCGAGGCUCAACCUCGGGCCUGCAGUGGGUACGGGCAGACUAGAGUGCGGUAGGGGAGAUUGGAAUUCCUGGUGUAGCGGUGGAAUGCGCAGAUAUCAGGAGGAACACCGAUGGCGAAGGCAGAUCUCUGGGCCGUAACUGACGCUGAGGAGCGAAAGGGUGGGGAGCAAACAGGCUUAGAUACCCUGGUAGUCCACCCCGUAAACGUUGGGAACUAGUUGUGGGGACCAUUCCACGGUUUCCGUGACGCAGCUAACGCAUUAAGUUCCCCGCCUGGGGAGUACGGCCGCAAGGCUAAAACUCAAAGGAAUUGACGGGGACCCGCACAAGCGGCGGAGCAUGCGGAUUAAUUCGAUGCAACGCGAAGAACCUUACCAAGGCUUGACAUAUACGAGAACGGGCCAGAAAUGGUCAACUCUUUGGACACUCGUAAACAGGUGGUGCAUGGUUGUCGUCAGCUCGUGUCGUGAGAUGUUGGGUUAAGUCCCGCAACGAGCGCAACCCUCGUUCUAUGUUGCCAGCACGUAAUGGUGGGAACUCAUGGGAUACUGCCGGGGUCAACUCGGAGGAAGGUGGGGAUGACGUCAAAUCAUCAUGCCCCUUAUGUCUUGGGCUUCACGCAUGCUACAAUGGCCGGUACAAAGGGCUGCAAUACCGUGAGGUGGAGCGAAUCCCAAAAAGCCGGUCCCAGUUCGGAUUGAGGUCUGCAACUCGACCUCAUGAAGUCGGAGUCGCUAGUAAUCGCAGAUCAGCAACGCUGCGGUGAAUACGUUCCCGGGUCUUGUACACAC
rnacentral:rRNA from 1 species